UACGUAGGGUGCGAGCGUUAAUCGGAAUUACUGGGCGUAAAGCGUGCGCAGGCGGUUGUGUAAGACAGAUGUGAAAUCCCCGGGCUCAACCUGGGAACUGCAUUUGUGACUGCACGGCUCGAGUGCGGCAGAGGGGGAUGGAAUUCCCGGUGUAGCGGUGAAAUGCGUAGAGAUCGGGAGGAACACCAGUGGCGAAGGCGGCUACCUGGACCAGCACUGACACUGAGGCACGAAAGCGUGGGGAGCAAACAGG
rnacentral:rRNA from 1 species